rnacentral:rRNA from 1 species
CAGUCGCCACGGUAAUACGAAGGGUGCAAGCGUUACUCGGAAUUACUGGGCGUAAAGCGUGCGUAGGUGGUGGUUUAAGUCCGUUGUGAAAGCCCUGGGCUCAACCUGGGAAUUGCAGUGGAUACUGGAUCACUAGGGUGUGGUAGAGGAUAGUGGAAUUUCCGGUGUAGCAGUGAAAUGCGUAGAGAUCGGAAGGAACAUCAGUGGCGAAGGCGACUAUCUGGGCCAACACUGACACUGAGGCACGAAAGCGUGGGGAGCAAACAGGAUUAGAUACCCCUGUAGUCCCUGUCUCUUAUAC